ACACUUGCAAGUCCAAUCAUUUGGGUUCGUUAGCUCAUAAAGUCGAGCAUUUGACUGCCCCAUCAUCGCAAUCCUCAAUUCCUUUCAAAAAAAUGUUCCAAUCCCACAUUUUCUUCCUCUUUUUCAUCUUCCCACUUGCCCUUUUGAUCCCCUCGGCUCUUGGGUUUCUUUCACAAUCUGGGUUCAAUGAUUCCCUCCCAUAUCUAUGGCCAAUGCCGUCGGAUUUCACUUUUGGAAACGCCACGCUCUCCGUUGACCCUCAGCUUUCUCUCGCCGCUGCUGGCAACGGCGGCAACUCUGAGAUUCUUAAAGCGGCUUUUGAUCGAUACAGGGAAAUCAUAUUCAAGCACGCUUCUGGGGUUUCUAUGUUUGACAAGCUUUGGGGAAGACGGAGAACAUUUGUUUAUGAUAUCAGUGAAUUGAAAAUUGUGGUUCAAUCAGAUUCUGAGGAACUUCAACUUGGUGUGGACGAGAGCUAUACAUUGUUUGUAUCGAAGAAGGAUGCUCAGUCGAUUAUUGGGGAAGCCACAAUCGAGGCAUCUACUGUUUAUGGUGCAUUGAGAGGGUUGGAGACAUUCAGUCAACUUUGUACUUUCAACUAUGAGACUAAGGAUGUACAAAUAUAUCAAGCUCCAUGGUACAUCAAAGACAAUCCAAGAUUCGCAUUUCGUGGGCUUCUCAUUGAUACUUCAAGGCACUUUCUACCAGUAGAUGUAAUGAAGAAUAUCAUUGAAUCGAUGUCUUAUGCUAAACUUAAUGUUCUUCAUUGGCACAUAGUAGAUGGGGAAUCAUUUCCUCUAGAAGUACCUUCAUAUCCAAAUCUGUGGAGAGGAGCAUAUACAAAACACGAGCGUUAUACCAUUGAGGAUGCUUAUGAAAUUGUCACCUUCGCCAAAAUGCGGGGCAUCAAUGUUAUGGCAGAGGUGGAUGUCCCAGGACAUGCUGAAUCUUGGGGGGUUGGAUAUCCAGAUCUAUGGCCUUCUCCGUCAUGUAAAGAACCACUUGAUGUUACAAAAAAUUUUACUUUUGAUUUGAUUUCCGGUAUAUUGACAGAUUUGAGAAAAAUUUUCCCAUUCGAGCUCUUCCACUUGGGUGGUGAUGAAGUAAAUACAAGUUGCUGGGAGACUAUUCCGCACGUGAAACAGUGGCUUUUGGAUCAGAACAUGACUACUAAAGAUGCAUAUGAAUAUUUCGUGCUUAGAGCUCAAGAAAUUGCAAUUUCUAAAAAUUGGACCCCUGUAAAUUGGGAGGAACCAUUCAUUUCCUUUGAAAAAGGUUUGAAUCCUAGGACGAUAGUGCAUAAUUGGUUGCAUGGUGAUGUUUGUCCCAAGGCUGUUGCGGAUGGUUUCAGAUGCAUUUUUAGUGAUCAAGGCGUUUGGUAUCUCGACCAUUUAGAUGUGCCGUGGGAUCGUGCAUACCAUGCUGAUCCCCUUAAAGGAAUAUCAGAUCCUUCUCAACAAAAGCUUAUUAUUGGAGGAGAAGUUUGCAUGUGGGGUGAGACUGCCGAUGCAUCAAACAUCCAGCAAACGAUAUGGCCUCGAGCUGCUACAGCUGCAGAGAGGCUAUGGAGUAAGAAUGAGACAGUCUCAGGAAAUGUCACCUUGUCGGUACUACCGCGCUUGAGUUACUUCAGGUGCCUCCUGAACAGGCGCGGAGUUGAGGCUGCUCCAGUCAAGAACUUCUAUGCUCGAAGACCUCCCACCGGUCCAGGAUCAUGUUAUGACCAAUAAUAAUAUUCAGGAUGACUUGGGAGUAAUACUGUAGUUUCUACCAGAAUUAUCGAUUUUGGAUUAGAUACUCCAAGGUCAUUUUUUUGGUAUUAGACAGGACGGUGUCGUUUUCACUCACUACUAAGAGGAACACACAAAUUUCAGAGAAUGAACCAAAGACGAAAACGUGUGGCAGACAAUGGCGUGGUCCAGAGAGUCGGACGACAAGCAUUGAUGUUGGUAGCAAAACUAUUGAACAAAAAGGGGAAGACAUCGUGAAGGUUGAACAUAAAGAGAGAAAAGAUUGAGAACAAGGAAACAAUGUAUUUAACCAACGCAUCAUAUUUUCAAUAGUCAACUAAGAUUCAAAGGAGUUUAACAACUA